rnacentral:rRNA from 1 species
GACGAACGCUGGCGGCGUGCCUAAUACAUGCAAGUAGAACGCACAGUUUAUACCGUAGCUUGCUCCACCAUAGACUGUGAGUUGCGAACGGGUGAGUAACGCGUAGGUAACCUGCCUGGUAGCGGGGGAUAACUAUUGGAAACGAUAGCUAAUACCGCAUAAUAUUAAUUAUUGCAUGAUAAUUAAUUGAAAGGUGCAAUUGCACCACUACCAGAUGGACCUGCGUUGUAUUAGCUAGUAGGUGAGGUAACGGCUCACCUAGGCGACGAUACAUAGCCGACCUGAGAGGGUGAUCGGCCACACUGGGACUGAGACACGGCCCAGACUCCUACGGGAGGCAGCAGUAGGGAAUCUUCGGCAAUGGACGAAAGUCUGACCGAGCAACGCCGCGUGAGUGAAGAAGGUUGUCGGAUCGUAAAGCUCUGUUGUAAGAGAAGAACGGGUGUGAGAGUGGAAAGUUCACACUGUGACGGUAUCUUACCAGAAAGGGACGGCUAACUACGUG